CAUGCCAAAGACGGGUAGCUGGUGUGAGAGCACGACCAGCCAGAGGGGGACUGAGACACGGCCCCCACUCCUACGGGAGGCAGCAGCAGGGAAUCUUGCACAAUGGGCGAAAGCCUGAUGCAGCGACGCCGCGUGAGGGACGAAGGCUCUAGGGUUGUAAACCUCUUUUCUCAGGGAAGAGCAAGGACGGUACCUGAGGAAUAAGCCACGGCUAACUACGUGCCAGCAGCCGCGGUAAUACGUAGGUGGCAAGCGUUGUCCGGAAUUAUUGGGCGUAAAGGGUCCGUAGGCUGUUUUGUAAGUCUCCUGUGAAAACUCCAGGCUCAACUUGGAGCGGUCGGGGGAUACUGCAUGACUAGAGGCUGUCAGAGGAAAGCGGAAUUCCCGGUGUAGUGGUGAAAUGCGUAGAUAUCGGGAGGAACAUCAGUGGCGAAAGCAGGCUUUCUGGGACAGUUCUGACGCUGAGGGACGAAAGCGUGGGGAGCAAACCGGAUUAGAUACCCUGGUAGUC
rnacentral:rRNA from 1 species